GAUGAACGCUAGCGGCAGGCCUAAUACAUGCAAGUCGAACGGUAAGGCCCUUUCGGGGUACACGAGUGGCGGACGGGUGCGUAACGCGUAUGCAACAUGCCUUCCAGCGGGGGAUAUACCAGGGAAACUUGGCGCAAUACCCCAUAGAAUUACGGGACCGCAUGGUCUUGUGAUUAAAACUCCGGUGCUGGGAGAUUGGCAUGCGUGACAUUAGCUAGUUGGCGGGGGUAACGGCCCACCAAGGCGACGAUGUCUAGCUGGUCUGAGAGGAUGAUCAGCCACACUGGGACUGAGACACGGCCCACGACUCCUACGGGAGGCAGCAGUAGGGAAUAUUGCGCAAUGGGCGAAAGCCUGACGCAGCGACGCCGCGUGGGGGAGUGAAGG
rnacentral:rRNA from 1 species